AACGAACUUGGAGAUAGCUUGUUCUCCCCGAAAUAGCUUUAGGGCUAGCCCGGCGUGGUGAAUAGAGGAGGUAGAGCGCUGGAUGGGCAAGGGGGCUUACGCCUACCAACCCCAACCAAACUACGAAUGCCUUUAUUGAAGAGCGCCGGAGUCGGACUACGAAUGAUGAGAUCCGUAGUCGAGAGGGAAAGAGCCCAGACCAUCGGCUAAGGUCCCGAAGUAGGUACUAAGUGGGAAACGCUGUGAGCGUGCUCAGACAGCCAGGAGGUUGGCUCAGAAGCAGCCAUCCUUUAAAGAGUGCGUAAUAGCUCACUGGUCGAGCGCGGUUGCGCGGAAAAUGUAACGGGGCUAAAGUACCUUACCGAAGCCAUGGCUAUGCGGGAGCAUAGGGUAGGGGAGCGUUCUGUGGGCAGAGAAGCCGUACCGGAAGGAGCGGUGGAGCGCACAGGAGUGAGAAUGCUGGCAUGAGUAGCGCGAAACACGUGAGAACCGUGUUCGCCGAAAGCCCAAGGGUUCCGACGGAAGGGCGAUCCCCGUCGGGUGAGUCGGGCCUAAGCCGAGGCCGAAGGGCGUAGGUGAUGGACAUCCGGUUAAGAUUCCGGAACCGUCAGGCGGGAGCGAAGGGGGGACGCAGCAGGGGAAGUCAGCCGGGGGGUGGAAAUCCCGGUGCCAAGCGUGAAGGACGAAGAAGGAGACAGGUAAAGCCGUUUCCGGAGUUCGAGGCGUGAUGGCGUGCCGAAGGCAAGAAGUGACUGGGCUCAGCUGCCAAGAAAAGCCUCUAAGCGAAGAACGUCGGGCGCCCGUACCGCAGACCGACACAGGUGGGCAGGUAGAAGAUACCGAGGCGAACGGGAGAACCCUCGUUAAGGAAUUAGGCAAAUUAGCCCCGUAACUUCGGGAGAAGGGGCGCCUCUGGGGGUGAGCUAUAAGCAUAGGGAGCCUCUGGGGGUCGCAGAGGAAUGGCUCUAGUGACUGGUUACCAAAACCACAGGUCUCUGCUAACGCGGAAGCGGCAGUAUAGGGGCUGACACCUGCCCAGUGCCGGAAGGUUAAAGGGAGGGGUAAGCGGAAGCGAAGCUCUGAACUGAAGCCCCGGUGAACGGCGGCCGUAACUAUAACGGUCCUAAGGUAGCGAAAUUCCUUGUCGGGUAAGUUCCGACCCGCACGAAAGGUGUAACAACUAGAGCACUGUCUCAACGAGGGGCCCGGCGAAAUUGAACACGCGGUAAAGAUGCCGUGUACCCGCAGCAGGACAAAAAGACCCCGUGGAGCUUUACUGUAGUUUGGCACUGGAUGAGGGUUGCGUUUGUGUAGGAUAGGUGGGAGGCGGAGAAGCUGGGACGCGAGUUUCGGUGGAGCCGACGGUGAAAUACCACCCUGGCGCAACUUUGAUUCUAACCUAGGCCCGUGAACCGGGCUGGGGACCGUGCCAGGCGGGCAGUUUGACUGGGGUGGUCGCCUCCCAAAAGGUAACGGAGGCGCUCAAAGGUUCCCUCAGGUGGCAUGGAAACCCACCGGAGAGUGCAAAGGCAAAAGGGAGCUUGACUGUGAGGCCGACUGGCCGAGCAGGGACGCAAGUCGGACUUAGUGAUCCCACGGUACCGAGUGGAAGGGCCGUGGCUUACCGGAUAAAAGCUACCCCGGGGAUAACAGGGUGGUGAGGCCCAAGAGUUCACAUCGACGGCCUCGCUCGCCACCUCGAUGUCGGCUCGUCACAUCCUGGGGCUGGACAAGGUCCCAAGGGUUGGACUGUUCGUCCAUUAAAGUGUUACGCGAGCUGGGUUCAGACCGUCGUGAGACAGGUCGGUCUCUAUCCGCUGUGGGCGAAGGGGAUUUGAGGGGAGCUGCCUUCAGUACGAGAGGACCAGGGUAGACGGACCGCUGGUGUGUCAGUUGUGGCGCCAGCCGCAGGGCUGAGUAGCCAGGUCCGGCAGGGAUAACCGCUGAAAGCAUCUAAGUGGGAAGCCCGCCCCAAGAUGAGAUCCCCCACACCGGGAAGGUGGU
rnacentral:rRNA from 1 species